GUCCUUAUUUUGGUGUUUAUUUAGUUUCUCUUUUCAAAAAACUUGUUUUCUUCCCCUCUUUUAGUUUGCCUCUGGCUGGCUUUGUGAAUUCCCAGCAUCGCCUUAAGCAUUGUGCCUUCCACUACAUACAGCGCCCAGUUUUCCAGUUUCCAUCCCGAUCUCCACUGUUCACAUGCUUACACCUCGUCAAACAAGCAUUUAAAAGACACGGUCUGUAAUGGCAGCUUGACGUCAAGCCACCACCCAUUUAAUCAGCCCCAUUAGAUCUCGAAUCACCGCCCUGACACGACUGCCAACAGGGUCAGGACCUGUAGCUCAGCGUUUGCUGCUUUUCAGCAGGUGAAUUUUAUUCUGCUCACUACCCUCAGUGGAGUCUCUGACAUUUGCUGUUUGCCAUUCGUAUUCCCUCGCACGCUGUGAAACAUCUGGUUAGGUUUCAAAUUCAUCGUGGUCAUUAAAAGGAGAACUGCAUCUCGUGACAGCGUUUCUAAUUUUACUGGAACCUGCUGAGCUCCGGCCAUUCAGGACUUGUUGGGUCAUUGGGUGUUAGAGGAAAACAUAAAAGAUAUUUUACUGGCCUGGCCAGAGGCUAGUUGGCACCUGUGUCGACUGAAGAUCUGAUCAAAUGGAAUCAAGAGUCAGAUUCUUGGGCAUGGAUUCCUAAACAGGUGUGUUCUGUCACCAGUUUUCUCCACUAUACAAAUGUAUUUUGAAAAAUUGAUGGUUCCACUUGUGAGACCAUCUGGGAAAUGGUUUUGAAAGGACAAAAUCCCAUUACUGGACAUUUACUGGUCAAAUUUGACCCAAGGCUUUCAGUCACACUGAGCAGUGAGUAAAAUAAAAUAAACCCAACAGAAGUUAUACCCGCUAACCAAUAGCAGUUUCUGAUAUGGGUAAAAUCACAAACAAUGUCA